GUCAACACAUGAGAGUGGCAUGAAAGUUCAUGGUUUAUGGUAAGGAAUAAUGAAAUAAAUAAGCCUAGCAUGUAUGGUGCUUUGUUUAGGUCAGUAUGUAUCAUGAGAUGAGACCAGCAGACCUUGUCAAUUCUGUAGAGUCCAAUCUAUGUUGAUUGUGCAGACAUGAACAUUGGUCACAUCUCCCUCUUCAAGCCACUAUACAUAGCAACUUCAAAACAAUUUCAAUAGACAACGACCAUGCGCCAAAACGACCAUUCUACCAAGAUCUACUCUAUUUCAUCCGUAGAAGUAUGAAAUUUUUGCCUGAAGAAAGCAAGACCUAUUGAUACCAACCACAGCUUGCAACUUAGCCUUGCUGUUGAGGAAAAAUUGCCAAGGAACUGAAUCAUGGUUAUAGUUCAACUGAAUCACCUAGUGAUGGAUGUCUUGAGCAACUGCCAGGCAGAUAUGAGCUGGGAGAACCUAAAAGAUUUGAAUGCCAAAUGAAGUUAGUCUCAAACUAAUGGAAGUGAGCAACAAUAACAAUGCAAGUGGCAUGAAGAUAAAAUAUAGGUUGACCAUAUGUCCAUUAAAGGGCAAGUAGCCUAAUAAAUGCCAUGAAUCCAUAAUCGAUCGCUACAUUAAAGGGCAAUCUCUUCUAUUUCAAACUACCAAUUAGUCCACAACGCGACCUACCUGAAUGCCUCGUGGCCACCUCCCUGUGAUAGUUUA
rnacentral:lncRNA from 1 species